ACAAUGGGCGCAAGCCUGAUCCAGCAACGCCGCGUGGAGGAUGAAGGUCUUCGGAUCGUAAACUCCUGUCAGAUGGGACGAAGGUGACGAGGUGAACAACAUCGUUGCUUGACGGUACCGUCAGAGGAAGCCCCGGCUAACUCCGUGCCAGCAGCCGCGGUAAUACGGAGGGGGCGAGCGUUAUUCGGAAUUAUUGGGCGUAAAGGGCGCGUAGGCGGCUCGAUAAGUCAAAGGUGAAAUCCCUCGGCUCAACUGAGGAACUGCCUUUGAAACCGUCGAGCUCGAGUCCGGGAGGGGGUAGCGGAAUUCCCAGUGUAGCGGUGAAAUGCGUAGAUAUUGGGAGGAACACCAGUGGCGAAGGCGGCUACCUGGACCGGUUCUGACGCUGAUGCGCGAAAGCGUGGGUAGCAAACAGGAUUAGAUACCCUGGUAGUCCACGCUGUAAACGAUGGGUGCUCGGUGUCGCGGGUAUCGACCCCUGCGGUGCCUUAGCUAACGCGUUAAGCACCCCGCCUGGGGAGUACG
rnacentral:rRNA from 1 species